UACGAAGGGGGCUAGCGUUGUUCGGAAUCACUGGGCGUAAAGCGUAUGUAGGCGGAUUGCUAAGUCAGGGGUGAAAGCCCGAGGCUCAACCUCGGAACUGCCUUUGAUACUGGCUGUCUUGAGUCCGGAAGAGGCGAGUGGAAUUCCUGGUGUAGCGGUGAAAUGCGCAGAUAUCAGGAGGAACACCAAUGGCGAAGGCAGCUCGCUGGGACGGUACUGACGCUGAGACGCGAAAGCGUGGGGAGCAAACAGG
rnacentral:rRNA from 1 species